AAUAAGUGCAGCCAUGAGUUUCCGCGUCCAACUUUAAUCGUCCGUCUUAUUUAAAAUUUUUUUAUAAUUAGUAUUUUUAUUGUUAUAAGAUGAUAAAACAUAAAUAAUACUUUACUCGUGACUUAUGUUUUUAUUUUUUUUCAACUUUUUUUAAAUAAGACGAAUGAUUAAAGUUGGGCGCGGAAAACCAUAGCUGCACUUAUU
rnacentral:pre_miRNA from 1 species